ACCACACCUGUCCCCCAGCACACCAUACCUGUCCCCCCCAGCACACCAUACCUGUCCCCCCAGCACACCACACCUGUCCCCCCAGCACACUACACCUGUCCCCCCAGCACACCAUACCUGUCCCCCCCAGCACACCACAUCUGUCCCCCAGCACAUACCUGUCCCCCACAGCACACCAUACCUGUUCCCCAGCACACUACACCUGUCCCUGCAGCACACCAUACCUGUCCCCCAGCACACACCUGUCCCUGCAGCACACCAUACCUGUCCCCCAGCACACACCUGUCCCUGCAGCACACCAUACCUGUCCCCCAGCACACACCUGUCCCUGCAGCACACCAUACCUGUCCCCCAGCACACACCUGUCCCUGCAGCACACCAUACCUGUCCCCCAGCACACACCUGUCCCUGCAGCACACCAUACCUGUCCCCCAGCACACACCUGUCCCUGCAGCACACCAUACCUGACCUGUCCCCCCAGCACACCACACCUGUCCCCCCAGCACACCACACCUGUCCCCCAAGCAAACCAUACCUGUUCCCCAGCACACCACACCUGUACCCCAGAACACCAUACCUGUUUCCCAGCACACCAUACCUGUCCCCCCAGUACAUACCUGUUCCCCAGCACACACCUGUACCCCCAGCACACUGCACCUGUCCCCCCAACACAGCAUACCUGUCCCCCCAGCACACCAUACCUGUCCCCCCAGUACAUACCUGUUCCCCAGCACACACCUGUACCCCCAGCACACUGCACCUGUCCCCCCAACACAGCAUACCUGUCCCCCCAGCACACCAUACCUGUCCCCCCAGUACAUACCUGUUCCCCAGCACACACCUGUACCCCCAGCACACUGCACCUGUCCCCCCAACACAGCAUACCUGUCCCCCCAGCACACCAUACCUGUCCCUGCAGCACACCAUACCUGUUCCCCAGCACACCACACCUGUCCCCACCCGCAUACCUGUUCCCCAGCACACACCUGUCCCCCCAGCACACUACACCUAUCCCCCCAGCACACCACACCUGUCCCUGCAGCACACCAUACCUGUUCCCCAGCACACACCUGUCCCCCCAGCACACUACACCUGUCCCCCAGCACACUACACCUGUCCCCCCAGCACACUACACCUGUC
rnacentral:lncRNA from 1 species